rnacentral:tRNA from 1 species
GCGGGUGUGGCUAAAUUGGUAGAAGCGCUGGAUUUAGAUUCCAGUUCCAUAGGGAGUGUCGGUUCGAGUCCGACCACCCGCACCA